rnacentral:rRNA from 1 species
UACGUAGGGGGCGAGCGUUGUCCGGAUUUAUUGGGCGUAAAGAGCGUGUAGGCGGCCAGGUAGGUCCGUUGUGAAAACUCGAGGCUCAACCUCGAGACGUCGAUGGAAACCAUCUGGCUAGAGUCCGGAAGAGGCGAGUGGAAUUCCUGGUGUAGCGGUGGAAUGCGCAGAUAUCAGGAGGAACACCAACGGCGAAGGCAGCUCGCUGGGACGGUACUGACACUGAGGCGCGAAAGCGUGGGGAGCGAACAGG